rnacentral:rRNA from 1 species
UAGGGAAUCUUCCACAAUGGACGCAAGUCUGAUGGAGCAACGCCGCGUGAGUGAAGAAGGUUUUCGGAUCGCAAAGCUCUGUUGUUGGUGAAGAAGGAUAGAGGCAGUAACUGGUCUUUAUUUGACGGUAAUCAACCAGAAAGUCACGGCUAACUACGUGCCAGCAGCCGCGGUAAUACGUAGGUGGCAAGCGUUGUCCGGAUUUAUUGGGCGUAAAGCGAGCGCAGGCGGAAUGAUAAGUCUGAUGUGAAAGCCCACGGCUCAACCGUUGAACUGCAUCGGAAACUGUCAUUCUUGAGUGCAGAAGAGGAGAGUGGAAUUCCAUGUGUAGCGGUGGAAUGCGUAGAUAUAUGGAAGAACACCAGUGGCGAAGGCGGCUCUCUGGUCUGCAACUGACGCUGAGGCUCGAAAGCAUGGGUAGCGAACAGG